CGGAACAGACAUGUGAAUGAGGACAGAACGCAUAUUUUGUGGCCCCAUUGAAUUGAAUGGGUCCACAUACGAUACUCAAAAAUUGUGGAUUGGAUGCGGACCGAAACUACGUCCGGGUGCACAGGCCCUUACUAGAGCAAGAUGGAUAAGAAUCAACAUCCUAUUAAAGUGACCCGGGCAAGAAGAUUAACCAGAGACGGGAGAUGGCUGACAAAUCAUCAUGGCGGUCUGGUCUGAAUGGAGAAGACGAGGA